rnacentral:ncRNA from 1 species
UCAGACACGCCGCCGGGUGCGUCAACGCGCUUUUUUCUGCAUCGUUAGGCCUUUGAAGAUGCGGAAGAGGGCGCGAUUUUGCG